UACAGAGGGUGCGAGCGUUGUCCGGAAUCACUGGGCGUAAAGGGCGCGUAGGCGGCGCGGUAAGCGUGCGGUGAAAGCCCGGGGCUCAACCCCGGGUCGGCCGUGCGGACUGCCGGGCUGGAGCACUGUAGAGGCAGGUGGAAUUCCGGGUGUAGCGGUGGAAUGCGUAGAGAUCCGGAAGAACACCGGUGGCGAAGGCGGCCUGCUGGGCAGUAGCUGACGCUGAGGAGCGAAAGUGUGGGGAGCGAACAGG
rnacentral:rRNA from 1 species